GUGAGGAAUAUUGGUCAAUGGGCGAGAGCCUGAACCAGCCAAGUCGCGUGAAGGAAGAAGGAUCUAUGGUUCGUAAACUUCUUUUGCAGGGGAAUAAAGUGCAGGACGUGUCCUGUUUUGUAUGUACCCUGAGAAUAAGAAUCGGCUAACUCCGUGCCAGCAGCCGCGGUAAUACGGAGGAUCCGAGCGUUAUCCGGAUUUAUUGGGUUUAAAGGGUGCGUAGGUGGUUUGAUAAGUCAGCGGUGAAAGUUUGCAGCUUAACUGUAAAAAUGCCGUUGAAACUGUCGGACUUGAGUGUAAAUGAGGUAGGCGGAAUGCGUGGUGUAGCGGUGAAAUGCAUAGAUAUCACGCAGAACUCCGAUUGCGAAGGCAGCUUACUAAGCUACAACUGACACUGAAGCACGAAAGCGUGGGGAUCAAACAGGAUUAGAAACCCCAGUAGUCC
rnacentral:rRNA from 1 species